AGGAAUCAGGAAAAUAUAAACUGCUUGAAGUAUCAUUCUGCUUUACUAAGUCUUCACGUGCCCCAGGAGUCCUCCAGUUAGGGUGCCAUUAGCCAGGAGAGCUCCUGCCCAGAUUUGUACCCAGCCACGUUGACACCCAGAAUGGAGCUACCUUGCCCAGCUUCCCUUACAACCAGGCAAGGAUGUCACAAUGUAGAACCAAUGGGAUGAAGGCAGAAACGUUGUACGGCAGCUGCUGAGAACCUUCCUUAAAACCUAGCCAGAAUGAACCCUAUACCCAUCUGCCUUGGCAUACAGUUGUUGAAUCCUGGGCUGCGAGGACAGAGGUCCCUUCCAGGGGUGAUGGAGUGGUGAGUAGAAGGGAGCCUGGGUCCUGAGGACUUAAGGCAGAGUUGCCUUACCAGCUGUGGAAGGCAGAGCUUGGGCCUCAUGACUUUUGCCCUUGGCGUUAUUCAUGGAUAUGUUACAUUACGUGGCAAAAUGUAAUUAAGGUACCAAUUAGUUGACCUUAAAAUAG
rnacentral:lncRNA from 1 species